rnacentral:rRNA from 1 species
UUUUUCAAUAAAAAAAAAAAAAAGUCUUCACCUGAUCUCGUCUGAUCUCGGAAGCUAAGCAGGGUCUGGCCUGGUUUGUACUUGGAUGGGAGACCGCCUGGAAAUACCAGGUGCUGUAAGCU